CUAAGCAUAUCAAUAAGCGGAGGAAAAGAAACCAACAGGGAUUGCCCUAGUAACGGCGAGUGAAGCGGCAACAGCUCAAAUUUGAAAUCUGGCUCUUUUAGAGUCCGAGUUGUAAUUUGCAGAGGGCGCUUUGGCUUUGGCAGCGGUCCAAGUUCCUUGGAACAGGACGUCACAGAGGGUGAGAAUCCCGUACGUGGUCGCUGGCUAUUGCCGUGUAAAGCCCCUUCGACGAGUCGAGUUGUUUGGGAAUGCAGCUCUAAAUGGGAGGUACAUUUCUUCUAAAGCUAAAUAUUGGCCAGAGACCGAUAGCGCACAAGUAGAGUGAUCGAAAGAUGAAAAGCACUUUGGAAAGAGAGUCAAACAGCACGUGAAAUUGUUGAAAGGGAAGCGCUUGCAGCCAGACUUGCUUACAGUUGCUCAUCCGGGUUCUUACCCGGUGCACUCUUCUGUAGGCAGGCCAGCAUCAGUUUGGGCGGUAGGAUAAAGGUCUCUGUCACGUACCUCCUUUCGGGGAGGCCUUAUAGGGGAGACGACAUACUACCAGCCUGGACUGAGGUCCGCGCAUCUGCUAGGAUGCUGGCGUAAUGGCUGUAAGCGGCCCGUCUUGAAACACGGACCAAGGAGUCUAACAUCUAUGCGAGUGUUUGGGUGUCAAGCCCGAGCGCGUAAUGAAAGUGAACGGAGGUGGGAACCCGCAAGGGUGCACCAUCGACCGAUCCUGAUGUCUUCGGAAGGAUUUGAGUAAGAGCAUGGCUGUUGGGACCCGAAAGAUGGUGAACUAUGCUUGAAUAGGGUGAAGCCAGAGGAAACUCUGGUGGAGGCUCGCAGCGGUUCUGACGUGCAAAUCGAUCGUCAAAUUUGGGCAUAGGGGCGAAAGACUAAUCGAA
rnacentral:rRNA from 1 species